AGAGUUUGAUCCUGGCUCAGAUUGAACGCUGGCGGAAUGCUUUACACAUGCAAGUCGAACGGCAGCACGGGAGCUUGCUCCUGGUGGCGAGUGGCGAACGGGUGAGUAAUGCGUCGGAACGUACCGAGUAAUGGGGGAUAACGCAGCGAAAGUUGUGCUAAUACCGCAUACGCCCUGAGGGGGAAAGCGGGGGAUCGUAAGACCUCGCGUUAUUCGAGCGGCCGACGUCUGAUUAGCUAGUUGGUGGGGUAAAGGCCUACCAAGGCGACGAUCAGUAGCGGGUCUGAGAGGAUGAUCCGCCACACUGGGACUGAGACACGGCCCAGACUCCUACGGGAGGCAGCAGUGGGGAAUUUUGGACAAUGGGGGCAACCCUGAUCCAGCCAUUCCGCGUGAGUGAAGAAGGCCUUCGGGUUGUAAAGCUCUUUCAGCUGGAACGAAACGGUGCGCUCUAACAUAGCGUGCUAAUGACGGUACCAGCAGAAGAAGCACCGGCUAACUACGUGCCAGCAGCCGCGGUAAUACGUAGGGUGCGAGCGUUAAUCGGAAUUACUGGGCGUAAAGCGUGCGCAGGCGGAUUGUUAAGCAAGAUGUGAAAUCCCCGGGCUUAACCUGGGAAUGGCAUUUUGAACUGGCAGUCUAGAGUGUGUCAGAGGGGGGGUGGAAUUCCACGUGUAGCAGUGAAAUGCGUAGAGAUGUGGAGGAACACCGAUGGCGAAGGCAGCCCCCUGGGAUAACACUGACGCUCAUGUACGAAAGCGUGGGUAGCAAACAGGAUUAGAUACCCUGGUAGUCCACGC
rnacentral:rRNA from 1 species